rnacentral:rRNA from 1 species
GACGAACCGUGCGAACGUUGUUCGGAUUCACUGGGCUUAAAGGGCGCGUAGGCGGGUGCUCAAGUCCGGGGUGAAAUCCUCCAGCUCAACUGGAGAACUGCCUCGGAUACUGGGCGUCUCGAGUGUGGUAGGGGUAUGCGGAACUAUCGGUGGAGCGGUGAAAUGCGUUGAUAUCGAUAGGAACUCCGGUGGCGAAGGCGGCAUACUGGACCACCACUGACGCUGAUGCGCGAAAGCCAGGGGAGCAAACGGG